GGCCGCCUAGCGUAAUGGUUAACGCGCUAGUUUCCGGUGUUUGGGUAGCUAGAGAUUGUGGGUUCGAGUCCCAUGGUGGUCG
rnacentral:tRNA from 1 species